GAUGAACGCUAGCGGCAGGCUUAACACAUGCAAGUCGAGGGGCAGCACGUCUUCGGAUGGUGGCGACCGGCGCACGGGUGAGUAACGCGUAUGCAAUCUACCUUUUACAGGGGCAUAGCCCGGGGAAACCCGGAUUAAUAUCCUAUAGUACCAUUAUAUAGCAUUAUAUUAUGGUUAAAGUUUCGGCGGUAAAAGAUGAGCAUGCGUCCUAUUAGCUUGAUGGUAAGGUAACGGCUUACCAUGGCUAUGAUAGGUAGGGGUCCUGAGAGGGAGACCCCCCACACUGGUACUGAGACACGGACCAGACUCCUACGGGAGGCAGCAGUGAGGAAUAUUGGACAAUGGGCGGCAAGCCUGAUCCAGCCAUGCCGCGUGCAGGAAGACGGCCCUAUGGGUUGUAAACUGCUUUUAUACGGGAAGAAACACCCCUUCGUGAAGGGACUUGACGGUACCGUAUGAAUAAGGAUCGGCUAACUCCGUGCCAGCAGCCGCGGUAAUACGGAGGAUCC
rnacentral:rRNA from 1 species